rnacentral:lncRNA from 1 species
GUCAUUGCACUAAGAUCUGGUGUCCUGUGAGCAGCUGAUGCAAUUUUCCUCAGUCACAGGGAUGAAUCUUGGAUAACGUUUCUGGCUCUGAGAAAUCCCCAAGUCACAGAGAGACAAUGUGGUUGACCCGAGGCUUGGCGCUCCUGUUACAGCAUGUUCCACAGCAGUGUCCCUGGGGAUAACGUGAGAGUUUUUAACAGUGCUGAAAGUCGCCCAGUAAUCACCCUGUGUGGAUUUCACUAGCAUUCCAAAGACAUCCCAAACAAUUCCAAGAAGACUUUGGGGACCCAGUAAGGUUUUCUAAACAUUUUCUUUCUGCCUGAAAACACUGAAGAUAAACAGCUUCCCCAAACUCCCAUAAUAACACAGAGUCAUUUGAUCAUGAACACAAGUCAUCAAUUGCCAUUCCGCCCCAAAACCACAACAGUCCAAAGAAGUCAUUCCUGACCAGCUAUCAAAAGGUCAGAGGAAGAAUCAUUCUUGAUGGGCUUCAGAGCAGUGUUCCUGGUUUCCCCUGCCCCACCAGCCUCACAGCUGGAACUAUGAAACAGCCAGACAGCCCACGGAUCAAGUUGCAGCAACACCACAUCAAGGCUUCAACUUAAAAAGUUUCUUUUCACUAGUAGUAUUGAAGGCACUGUAGAAAUGACUACAACAUGAAAGCUUCCUUUCAAAAGGGGAUUUGGAAACUCACUGGGUGAAUGUGACUGGUCUCUCUUCUUUGCUGAAGGAUUUAUGGCACAACCUUGUUCGUAUCCCUCAUGUUCCCAGUUUGAGUCUCAAUACCAGCCCCACCAUAGGACAGGAAAAAGGCUGUUUACCAUUCUACAGCUGAGAAGACUGAAGCCUGAGCAAGUACAUUGGCCCAGUGUCCUGAAAGGAAGAAGCUGUAGAGUUGGAAUGUAAAGUCAGGUGUUUGGACUCUCAGUCAAGAGCCAUUUUUUUUUUUUUGACAAUGGAAAUAUGAGACCUGCAGAUUAUCAUAGAUGGAGACCUAGAAAAGCCACGCCAUGUCCACGGGUGGCACGGAUAGGUGUUUUCUUUCAAUGGUACCCCAGAGGGAACUCAGGUUUGAGAAAACUAGGAGUGGAUAGUGUUUCCAGUACAAGAUACUGCAUCAGCUUUUGGAAAUCUCUGAGACCAGCAGAUAGAGCUUCUCAUGUUUACUUCCAAAGACACAGUCAAGAAUUAAAAUGA